rnacentral:rRNA from 1 species
CCCUUAGAUGUCCGGGGUCGCACGCGCGCUACACUGAAGGAAUCAGCGUGGCUUUCUCCCUGACCCGAAAGGGUUGGGAAACCCGUUGAAUCUCCUUCGUGAUAGGGAUUGGGGCUUGAAAUUGUUCCCCAUGAACGAGGAAUUCCCAGUAAGCGCGAGUCAUAAGCUCGCGUUGAUUACGUCCCUGCCCUUUGUACACACCGCCCGUCGCUACUGCCAACUGAGAUGGGUCCUGAAUUGUUAGGAACGCCCGUCAAGGGGCCUACCCGGUCCCUAGUGCGGUGACGAGAAUAACUGUAAAUGGCAUAUCUUGUAGGGAGUAAAAGUCGUAACA